GAUGAACGCUAGCGGCAGGCUUAAUACAUGCAAGUCGAGGGGUAGCAAGAUUGUAGCAAUACAAUUGUUGACGACCGGCAAACGGGUGCGGAACACGUACACAACCUUCCUACAAGUGGGGAAUAGCCCAGAGAAAUUUGGAUUAAUACCCCGUUACAUAGCGAUGUGGCAUCACAUUGCUAUUAUAGCUUCGGCGCUUGUUGAUGGGUGUGCGGCUGAUUAGAUAGUUGGCGGGGUAACGGCCCACCAAGUCUACGAUCAGUAGCUGAUGUGAGAGCAUGAUCAGCCACAAGGGCACUGAGACACGGGCCCGACUCCUACGGGAGGCAGCAGUAAGGAAUACUGGACAAUGGACGCAAGUCUGAUCCAGCCAUGCCGCGUGAAGGAUUAAGGUCCUCUGGAUUGUAAACUUCUUUUAUAAGGGACGAAAAAAGGUCUUUCUAGAUCGUCUGACGGUACCUUAUGAAUAAGCACCGGCUAGCUCCGUGCCAGCCGCCGCGGUAACAC
rnacentral:rRNA from 1 species